rnacentral:misc_RNA from 1 species
AUGAGAAUGCUAUUGGUCCGUCUAAUGUAGCAGCCGUCAUCUGGUGAGGAUCCGAGCAUGCAGGGUUUCAGCUUUCGUCGCCGCCGUCGCUCGAGAGCUCACAAAUGGCUGGACAUAAGAUUGCGCACGUGACACUGAAAGGCCCCAGUGUGAUCAAGGAGAUCUGCAUGGGCAUCACGCUGGGUCUGUUCGCUGGUGGCCUCUGGAAGAUGCAUCACUGGAACGAGCAGAGAAAGACCCGUGCCUUCUAUGACAUGCUAGAGAAGGGUCAGAUCAGUGUUGUCGU